AAUUCGAUUUGUAUUUUAUUCCAUGUCAGGGUUUAUUUGCUAUGCACUCAUUUUAUUCGAGUGGCGUGUUACUUAAAUUCGUUUUACUGUCUUUGAUUAGUUACAGAGUUUUAGGAUCACGAUGGAUUUCUUUGACAUGCAUUUGAUGACUGUUAGAACAACUGUGAUCUUGAUUUGGCAAUACUGUGCUGAAUUAUUCCCAUCAAAUUCUUUGAGGCUGGUAGAGUUCAGUGUGACUUACCGUACACCAUUUUCCUUUGGAUGAAAAUUUUCUUUCCCAUUUUUAUGGUCCAAAGAAAAUCUGGUGCUCAUUCUUUUGUUGGUGUGCCAAUUUGAAACUCCACACUAUAUUAUAUAAAUGGCUUGAAGAAGCAUUCUAUUGACCUGACCUCACACCCUUUUUUAGUUGGUUUGUGUUAGAUGAAAAUGUAUUGCUAUCGUUAAAAAAAUAAUAAUAAAUAAAUAAAUAAUGAAAACGUAUCGCUGUUUGUAACUCCAUGCUAUGUCACCAAGCUCCAAGUCUCUAUUGUGGCCUUUACCAGGUUUCUUAUAUUUGUUUUAAAAAUCUAAUAUGGAUAUUGCAUUUCAAAGGAAAAUAAAAAAUUUGGCAUGGAUUUUAUUCAACGUCUCUCUUUGUUUGCUAAGGCAUCAUUUUGUGAAUCACAUGGUUUAUUUCUCGAAGUUGCUUUGUUGAAAUGUUUGACCAGAUUUAAAGAGCAAUCAGUUUAAAUUUUUAUUGGCCUUAAUUUGUCAUAGAAUUUUAGGGUGAUGAUUUUUUCUUUAAAAUUUAUUUUUAUGUAUGCAUUUGAUGAGUUCUAUAACUAUGAUGUUUCUUUAUUUGGGGAUACUGUGUUGAGACCUUCUUAUCAAGUUCUUUGAUGCUGGCAGAUUUUUUUUCCCCAAAGGAUAAUGGAAUAUAAUAAACAAAGCAAAACUAACGGAUGAUGAGGGAUCCAUGAUAAAAAAAAAGGAUGAUGUGGAAUUGUCCUAGAUACAAGGUGGAAGGAUCAACCCAAAGACCCCUUACAGAAACCCGCUGGAUAUCUGUAGAUUCAUUUGAUGCCAAAGCCCAUUUGAUGACCAUGCGUUUUGCUUUGUGGAAGACCACUUCAGAAGAACAUGGUGUAUGCCUGAAAAUCCAGCAAUUGCUCAUUCCAUACAUCCCAAAAAACUGCCAUCAAAGUUAUCCACCAAAUAAUCAUUAUUUUCCUACGCCCCUUUCUUCUUCCGUGCCAGGCCAUCAAAAGAUUCCCCAUUCAGUGCGGAUCACCCUAUUCAUUUCAAACAUUCUCAGGAAUCUCAACCAGAUAUAUUGUACAAAUUGCCAAUGCAAUAAAACAGAUGAUUCACUUUUUCUUCAUCCCUUAGGCACAUCAUAUGCAUCCAUUCAACAUGAUUGUACCUCUCUUCCUAAUGUUAUGGUGGCAGAUUUUGAUGUGAUUUAUUGGACUAUUUGCUCUAGGAUGAAUAUUUCUUUCCUAUUUUUAUGUCUGUAGAAAGUCUGCACCGACUUCUUCUGUUUUAGUGUCAUAUUGAAGCUCCAUGCUAUGUUACCAAAGGCUUUGAAGGAGCAUCCUAUUGACCUGACUUUGUAUUGUUUUUGAGUUGGUUUGUGUUUAAACUGAAAGAAGUAUUACUAUUUGUAUACCCUAUGCUACAUUUUACCCAGACAUAAUUUUAAGCAAACAGCUGUGCCCAUGACGUGCCAUGACUUGCCAACAUAUACCCAGCUUCUGCUGAUCUCCAUGACUGCCAGUAAAUUGAUAUUGGUUUAUCACUUGUUUCCAACGUAUGUACAUGCUAUACCGUGUUAUACCCUGUUUGUGCACCAAUUAUGGUAUUUGCUUCAUCUGGCCUUUGCAAUCGAGGCAGCACAAGUGCGGAAAGGCUAGAUCGAGUAUUUUCUUGUUUUUAUUUGCGGUUGGAAUAACUAAUUAUGGGCAGUUUUGGUAAUUUUACAUUAUUUAAGGCUAGUUAAUUGCGUACCUAUAUGAAAUCAAACUAUAGACUACUCGCAGUUCAGCUGUUAAUUUCAAGGUAGGCUAGGGAUGCACACAAGAGGUGUGAUGUUGCUUUAAAAAACCUAUUCCAGCAUCCCCGAUUCCACAUUUAGAGGGUGAGGAGUCUCAUUUGGCUGAUGCUUCUACAUCAUCAUUAGAGCCUUGUCCCAACCAUAGUUAACAUAACUCCGUUUUGAACUCUAUAUGUAUAUUU